UACGUAGGCAGCAAGCGUUGUUCGGAGUUACUGGGCGUAAAGGGUGCGUAGGCGGCUUUUUAAGUUUGGUGUGAAAUCUCCCGGCUCAACUGGGAGGGUGCGCCGAAUACUGAGAGGCUAGAGUGCGGGAGAGGAAAGUGGAAUUCCUGGUGUAGCGGUGAAAUGCGUAGAUAUCAGGAGGAACACCGGUGGUGUAAACGGCUCUCUGGACCGUAACUGACGCUGAUGCACGAAAGCGUGGGUAGCAAACAGG
rnacentral:rRNA from 1 species